rnacentral:rRNA from 1 species
CUACGGAGGGUGCAAGCGUUACUCGGAAUCACUGGGCGUAAAGCGCGCGCAGGCGGCUAUUUAAGUUGGAUGUGAAAGCCUACGGCUCAACCGUAGAACUGCAUCCAAAACUAUUUAGCUAGAGUGUGGGAGAGGAAGAUGGAAUUAGUUGUGUAGGGGUAAAAUCCGUAGAGAUAACUAGGAAUACCAAAAGCGAAGGCAAUCUUCUGGAACAUUACUGACGCUGAGGCGCGAAAGCGUGGGGAGCAAACAGGAUUAGAAACCCUAGUAGUCC